rnacentral:piRNA from 1 species
UAGUGGAUUUCUUUGAACCCACAUGGCC